GUGCCAGCAGCCGCGGUAAUACGGAGGAUCCGAGCGUUAUCCGGAUUUAUUGGGUUUAAAGGGUGCGUAGGCGGAAUAAUAAGUCAGUUGUGAAAGUUUGCGGCUCAACCGUAAAAUUGCAGUUGAUACUGUUAUUCUUGAGUGUACAUAAGGUAGGCGGAAUUCGUGGUGUAGCGGUGAAAUGCUUAGAUAUCACGAAGAACUCCAAUUGCGAAGGCAGCUUACCGGGGUACAACUGACGCUGAGGCACGAAAGUGUGGGUAUCAAACAGGAUUAGAAACCCCAGUAGUCC
rnacentral:rRNA from 1 species